ACGAACGCUGGCGGCAGGCUUAACACAUGCAAGUCGAACGCCCCGCAAGGGGAGUGGCAGACGGGUGAGUAACGCGUGGGAAUCUACCCAUCUCUGCGGAAUAGCUCUGGGAAACUGGAAUUAAUACCGCAUACGCCCUACGGGGGAAAGAUUUAUCGGGGAUGGAUGAGCCCGCGUUGGAUUAGCUAGUUGGUGGGGUAAAGGCCUACCAAGGCGACGAUCCAUAGCUGGUCUGAGAGGAUGAUCAGCCACAUUGGGACUGAGACACGGCCCAAACUCCUACGGGAGGCAGCAGUGGGGAAUAUUGGACAAUGGGCGCAAGCCUGAUCUAGCCAUGCCGCGUGAGUGAUGAAGGCCUUAGGGUUGUAAAGCUCUUUCACCGGUGAAGAUAAUGACGGUAACCGGAGAAGAAGCCCCGGCUAACUUCGU
rnacentral:rRNA from 1 species